rnacentral:rRNA from 1 species
UGCCAGCCGCCGCGGUAAUACGGAGGAUCCAAGCGUUAUCCGGAAUUAUUGGGUUUAAAGGGUCCGCAGGCUGUUUGUUAAGUCAGGGGUGAAAUCCUACCGCUCAACGGUAGAACUGCCUUUGAUACUGGCAAACUUGAGUUAUUGUGAAGUAGUUAGAAUGUGUAGUGUAGCGGUGAAAUGCUUAGAUAUGACAUAGAACACCGAUAGCGAAGGCAGCUCACUAAGUCAUCAUUGACGCUGAGGGACGAAAGCGUGGGGAGCGAAAGGGAUUAGAUA